rnacentral:lncRNA from 1 species
AGAUGGCUCUGGGGAAAUUCCAUUCCAUAAUUCAUUUAAGCAGGAUAAACAGAGCUCCUGCUCUGGAAGAUCCAGCCCUGAGCAAAAGGCACUUGGAAUCGACAUGGGGGGCUCGAAUGUCCCUGUGAAACAUAAACAUAAGGAGGCAGGAGACAUGAGAUGCAGCCGGCUCUGACCCCAAAGAGCCAUGGGACCUGACCACCUGGGAGGAGCUGGAGGACAAAGGACUUCACAGAAGAAUGGAGUCCCAAAGAAACAGCUUCAGGAACUGAGGAGAGCCAGAAAUUUAAUGUAUUUAGGGCUCCCUUGUGAAAACACAAAAACAAAAAUAAAAAUGCCUCCCGCUGCCUCGACAUCUCUAUUCCACUGAUGCCCGACCAUUCUUUUGAAAAACAAACGGAAAAAGUGAAGUGUUGAUGACAGUCACUGGGGGGUUAGAGUAAGGCCCUGUUGUGGAAGAGGCCUGCUGUUUCACAAAAGACGAGCUUUGUCUUGACUGACAUGUCCUU